GACGAACGCUGGCGGCGUGCUUAACACAUGCAAGUCGAACGCUGAAGGCCUGGCUUUUGUUGGGUUGGAUGAGUGGCGAACGGGUGAGUAACACGUGAGUAACCUGCCCUCUUCUUUGGGAUAACGCCCGGAAACGGGUGCUAAUACUGGAUAUUCACUGAUCUUCGCAUGGGGGUUGGUGGAAAGGUUUGUUCUGGUGGGGAUGGGCUCGCGGCCUAUCAGCUUGUUGGUGGGGUGAUGGCCUACCAAGGCUUUGACGGGUAGCCGGCCUGAGAGGGUGACCGGUCACAUUGGGACUGAGAUACGGCCCAGACUCCUACGGGAGGCAGCAGUGGGGAAUAUUGCACAAUGGGCGAAAGCCUGAUGCAGCGACGCCGCGUGAGGGAUGGAGGCCUUCGGGUUGUAAACCUCUUUCGCUCAUGGUCAAGCCGCAACUGUGGGUUGUGGUGAGGGUAGUGGGUAAAGAAGCGCCGGCUAACUACGUG
rnacentral:rRNA from 1 species